rnacentral:rRNA from 1 species
GAUGAACGCUAGCGGCAGGCCUAACACAUGCAAGUCGAGGGGUAUAGUAGCAAUACUAGAGACCGGCGCACGGGUGCGUAACGCGCAUGCAAUCUACUUUUUACAGAGGGAUAGCCCAGAGAAAUUUGGAUUAAUACCUCAUAGUGUAUUUGAGUGGCAUCACUUGAUUACUAAAGUUCCAACGGUAAAAGAUGAGCAUGCGUCCUAUUAGCUAGUUGGUGUGGUAACGGCACACCAAAGCUACGAUAGGUAGGGGUCCUGAGAGGGAGAUCCCCCACACUGGUACUGAGACACGGACCAGACUCCUACGGGAGGCAGCAGUGAGGAAUAUUGGACAAUGGGCGCAAGCCCGAUCCAGCCAUGCCGCGUGCAGGGAAGAAGCAUCUAUGGUGUGUAAAACUGCUUUUGUACGGGAAGAAACACUCCUACGUGUAGGAGCUUGACGGUACCGUAAGAAUAAGGAUCGGCUAACUCCGUGCCAGCAGCCGCGGUAAU